GAGUUUGAUUAUGGCUCAGAUUGAACGCUGGUGGGAUGCUUUACACAUGCAAGUCGAACGCGGCACGGACUUCGGUCUGGUGGCGAGUGGCGAACGGGUGAGUAAUGUAUCGGAACGUGCCUAGUAGCGGGGGAUAAUCACGCGAAAGCGCAGCUAGUUGCCGCAUGGCUGCCCUUCGGGGAAAGUAAAUCUUCGGGCCUCGCACUAUUAGAGCGGCUGAUAUCGGAUUAGCUUAGCAGGGUAACGGCUCACCAAGGCGACGAUCCGUGCUGGUUUGAGAGGACGGCCAGCCACACUGGACUGAGACAUUGCCCAGACUCUACGGGAGGCAGCAGUGGGGAAUUUUGACAAUGGGGAAACCCUGAUCCAGCCAUCCCGCGUGUGCGAUGAAGGCCUUCGGGUUGUAAAGCACUUCUUGGCAGGGAAAGAAACGGCACGGGAUAAUACCCGUGCAACUGACGGUACCUGCAGAAUAAGCACCGGCUAACUACGUGCCAGCAGCCGCGGUAAUACGUAGGUGCAAGCGUUAAUCGGAAUUCUCACGGGCGCAAAGCGUGCGCAGGCGGUUCGGAAAGAAAGAUGUGAAAUCCCAGAGCUUAACUUUGGAACUGCAUUUUAACUACCGAGCUAGAGUGUGUCAGAGGGAGGUGAAUUCCUAUGUAGCAGUGAAAUGCGCAGAUAUGCGGAGGAACACCGAUGGCGAAGCGCAGCCUGGGGAUAACACUGACGCUCGGCGUACUUAAAGCGUGGGAGCAAACAGGAUUAGAUACCCUGUAGUCCACGCCCUAAACGAUGUCAACUAGCUGUUGGGGCCUUCUGGCCUUGGUAGCGCAGCUAACGCGUGAAGUUGACCGCCUGGGGAGUACGGUCGCAAGAUUAAAACUCAAAGGAAUUGACGGGGACUCCCGCACAAGCGGUGGAUACGGAUUAAUUGAUGCAACGCGAAAAACCUUACCUACCUGACAUGUCAGGGAACUUCGAAGAGAUUUGGAGUGCUCGCAAGAGAACUGGAACACAGGUGCCGUAUGGCUGUCGUCAGCUCGUGUCGUGAGAUGUUGGGUUAAGUCCCGCAACGAGCGCAACCCUUGUCAUUAGUUGCUACGAAAGGGCACCUAAUGAGACUGCCGGUGACAAACCGAGGAAGGACGAUGAUUGCCAAGUCCCUCAUGGCCCUUAUGGGUAGGGGCUUCACACGUCAUACAAUGGUCGGGACAGAGGGUCGCCGAACCCGCGAGGGGGAGCCAAUCCCAGAAACCCGAUCGUAGUCCGAUCGCAGUCUGCAACCUGACUGCGUGAAGUCGGAAUCGCUAGUAAUCGCGGAUCAGCAUGUCGCGGUGAAUACGUUCCCGGGUCUUGUACACACCGCUCGUCACACCAUGGGAGUGGGUUUUACCAGAAGUAGUUAGCCUAACCGUAAGGAGGGCGAUUACCACGGUAGGAUUCAUGACUGGGGUGAAGUCGUAACAAGGUA
rnacentral:rRNA from 1 species